UAUGAAUGUGGGCAAUGCUAG
rnacentral:miRNA from 1 species